rnacentral:rRNA from 1 species
GUUGAACGCUGGCGGCAUGCUUUACACAUGCAAGUCGAACGGUAACAGGGUGCUUGCACCGCUGACGAGUGGCGAACGGGUGAGUAAUGCGUCGGAACGCACCGAGUAAUGGGGGAUAACGCAGCGAAAGCUGUGCUAAUACCGCAUACGCUCUGAGGAGGAAAGCGGGGGACCUUCGGGCCUCGCGUUAUUCGAGCGGCCGACGUCUGAUUAGCUAGUAGGUGAGGUAAGAGCUCACCUAGGCGACGAUCAGUAGCGGGUCUGAGGGGAUGGUCCGCCACACUGGGACGGGGACACGGCCCAGACUCCGACGGGAGGCAGAAGUGGGGAAUUUUGGACAAUGGGCGCAAGCCUGAUCCAGCCAUGCCGCGUGUCUGAAGAAGGCCUUCGGGUUGUAAAGGACUUUUGUCAGGGAGGAAAUCCUUAGCGCUAAUACCGUUGAGGGAUGACAGUACCUGAAGAAUAAGCACCGGCUAACUACGUGCCAGCCGCCGCCGUAACAC